rnacentral:lncRNA from 1 species
GUCAUGAUCCAUCAAAAAAAUGGAGUGUAUGUCCCAAUGAUCGCGUUGUAGAAAUAUAUGCUAGGUUUGCAGUGGAUGAGUACAACAGAAAACAUGGACGUAAUCUUGUGUUUCAAUCAGUUUUGGAAGCUUGGGUUUAUGUUUAUCCUUGUGGCAAGAAAGAGUAUAGUAUUGAAUUAGUAGUAAGAGAAGGGUGUGGGAAUCAUGUCCUCAAGUAUCAUGCUGUUGUGACUGAAACAGGCUGUGCUGCUCGCAGGAAGACUCUGGUGUCUUUCGACCAAAUCGACGACUAAAAGAGAAGUUAUAUGCAUGCAAUCAAAGUUUAUACUUAUGUGUGAGAAGUACACAAUAAUAAAUCUUAUAUGAUAUUGUACUGUUCUACUCUCUUUCACUAUCUCUGUUCUAAAAUGAUAAUGGAGGCCAAACUACGUUUUUAGUCCCUAACCCUAUAUUUUGUGUUUUACUUUUCAUUUUGCUUCGUUGCACUCUUAAAGUUUAUGUUGUAGUUUUCUGUUUUAGUUUUGUUUAGUUUUGUACUUCGUUCUUGAUUGUGUUGAAGGUUUAGAAGAAAAUUAUAACUAAAAACAAUAAACUCACAAAAACAAUAACAAUAGUAUUUAAAUAAAUUCAAUUGGGUUUGAAAAUUAGGUAGGAAACUAAUUAUAAAAACUAAAAAUCAAUCGAUCCUUAUCAGACAACUAGACCUACUUUUAUAAUUUUGAGAGUUUGGCAUGGCUUCUAAAAAUAUUGGUCUACAAAAAUGUGUAUAUAUAUAAGAACCCAUUUGUUGUUAUUAUAUACAUACAUAUAAUAGUAUGUAUGUAUGUAAAUGAGCGGAUUUUUGUUUUUUAUUUUGGUAUCUUUCUAUGGAUAUAUAUAAUUAAUGGAAAUAUCGAUUCUGAUCUCGAUGUUCAACUUAUUGAAACUAGAAUACACAGACGUGAGUUGCACGUGUCAAAAUCUUUUUUUCUUUUAAAAUUAUCUAUAUUUUCUUUUCUUUUUGGAAUUUUAUAUAUUAUAUAUUGAUAAUAAUACACACUAAUCAUCGGGAUAGAUGAUAAACCUUCUAAGGAGGGAGGGAAUGAUUGUGAAAUGAUCUCACUUGGUCUUACUAAAUGAGUAACUUCGUUAUGUAUACUCAUCUAUUGCUUUAAAUAUUAGAGAUAGUUGCAAAUUUAACAAUUAGAUUCAAAAUAAUUAAGUAUAUAACAACAUUUUAUCUCAUCAUUAUUUAAUGAAGCGGGAGUGAUGAGGGUGCUAAGGAGAUGUCCACCUAGUGGAGAUGUCCUGGUGCACCUGCUGACCCACAUUAUCUUUCUCUAAAAAAAAUAACAUUUUAAAAAAUUUACAAAUAUAACAAAAUUUGUCAAAUUCUAUCAAUAAUAGAAGUCUAUGACUAAUACACUAUGUUGCAAAUAUUGAUCUAUUACCGAUAGACUAUACAAAUCUAUUGACGAUAAUUUUGCUAUAUUUUCAAUUUUUUUAAAAUGUUGCUAUAUUUCGAAAAGGACCAUCAGAUACAAUUACCCUAAAUAUUAAUGUUUUUUGUUAGCACUGCUCUUGGGCUUAUGGGCUUAUCUCUAGCCCUUUUGUACCGAUCAUGAACUUUGUAUUUUGUGCGCUUUAUUGAAUAUAUAUACAUAUAUGGAAAUGAUAAAGGGUGUCCACCUAGUGGGAUGCUUCAGUGCAUCCACUGACUCUGCAAGUAUCCAUUUUUCUAAAAAAACAUUUCCAUUUUUCUAAAAAAACAUUUGAAUUUAACAAAUGCUUUCUUGUUUUCAUUGAGAUUACUUUAUAAAGUGCAACUGCAACCUAGUAGGAAAGAUAAACUUCAACAUGUAUUGUUUGUCCUUGACCCUUUGUUAACGGUCGUUGUAAAAUUGAGCAACACUAAAAUCUACAAAGAGCAUCAAAAUAAAUAAAACUUUAUAAGUUUUUUGAAACUAAAGUUUUGAUUUUGUAUAUAUGUAUUGAUUAUAAAUAGAGUAAAAGAGUGAGGAAAAAAUUGUAUUGUAUCGUGGUAAGAUUUUAAGUAACUUAAUUUAUUAAAUUAUAAACAAUAAAUAAAUAAAUAUGAAAGGUAUGGUUGCCGUUUUAAUUACAAUGAUGUUCAACACCUUUAUUUUUUGUUUAAUAUCUUUCAACUUCCUACUUUGAAAAUGUUCCAAACCCUCUAUUACAUAACGUUUACCAUCAAACCCGAAAAUUUUACCACAAUGUAUUAGUAACUAUAUAAUAGUUUAAAUAAAAUUAAAUAAACUAUGGUAAACCUAAACUUUGUUUAAGACAUGCUUUUUUAUUUUAAAAAGUCAAUUUAUUGACAUAAUACAAAUGCAUGUUCACCAUCAAAUCUACAAACUACCACAACGUAUAAGUAACAAAAUAAUUUAAAUAAAAAAUUAAUAAACUAUGAUAAAUCUAAAAUUCAUCUAACACAUGGUUUUUUUACUAGAAAAAAUUCAAGGAUUUCAUAUACUACAAACCAAUCAACUUAGCAAGAAAUGGAAAAUUUAUUUGCUUAAUUACCAAAUGUAUAUCACUAUUUAACAAAAUUUAAAUAUUUGUAAUUGUUAUCUUAAAUUUCUUUGGAAGAAAUAGACUUCCAAACUCAUUCAUUCUCGAACCACAUAAUCAUAAAUGUCUAAAUCUUAGACCUUUAGGUGAAGAGUUACAAAUGGCCACAUAUCCAUGGCUUACCAUGGUGAGUAAAAAAAAAGUUGUUUAUUUGCGCUAAAAGGAAAAACAGAUCUAGUGAGUAAAAGAAAGAAAAACAUUCAAAUGUUUGUAAGAAAAUAAAACGGUAGAAGAUAGGUCUUUAUAUAUAUAUAUAUAUAUAUAUAGUUACGUUGAAGAAAAUAAAAGGUUACGAAAUCUUUUUCGAACUCAUCAUUAAAUACUAGAUAUUAGAGAAAUUAAAUUAGUGAAAUUAAUAAUUAGAUAAAAUCUUUUUUUUUUUUACUUCUUAAACAAUGUGUUAGACAUUAAGGUGAGAAUUUGAAAAGAUAAUCAAUAGUUUUCGUCUAGAACAUAAAGGUUCGGUUCUUAUCUCUACAAUUGUACCAAAAAAAGAGCAAUACUUUGUUUUCAAGACGUUGUGUUUAGUAAUGAGAAGAGUCUCUCCGACAGCUAGCCCAGUAUUGAUCAGCUUACAAGUUUGGAGAAAUAAGAGUUGGUUUCCAUCAGCUUUGAGGGUUCUUCAUAUUCAACCAAAUGACCAAAGUCAUUGUCAAAGACGGUAGAACUCUGUGAGCUACUGUUACAAUAGUGCAUUCUGAAAACUCCUUCCCUUAUAAUUCUUUGUAAAAUGGUGUCAGUUGCCGAGUCGAUUGAAGUGGUAGCCUCAUCGAGAACGAGAAUUUUAUGUCGUAUGAGUAGCACUCGACCGAGACGGAAGAGUUGGCGUUUUCCCACACUCCAGUUUCCACAGAUGAGUCGAGCUGAUUUGGUAGACUGCUGACAGUGGCCUUCAGCUGACACCUCUCUAAUGCCUUCCAUAUCUCAUCAUCAUCAGAGUAAAGGCCAAGGGGAAGAGUGGAGGGGAGGAGAAAAUCAGUUCGAGGGGUGAAAGUUCAAGAGAAACUAGACUUAAAAUCGAAAGAGUAACUUAAUAACCAAGAAUUCGACAAUUGUAUUUAAGAAAGAUGCAAAGAAAAAAUAAGCUUAAUUUUAAAAAACAAAAACAAAAAACGAAAUGGUUCAUUACCAAACGAGACCUAAAAAAUGGAGAUUGAACCGCGCUAAAAAGCAUAAUGGAAUAACUUUGAAAAGCUAAUUUCCAAAAAGUAUCAAUAUUCUAUUAUGAAUAUUUCCCACGUUAUACAGAACAUAGAUAACAAAAAUCAAAGAAACGCUACAACAUAAACACAUGUUAUAUUAUAAAAAUCGAAUAACAUUCAAAGGUAUAUCGUCCUAAAAAGAAUCAAUAUCCUUUCCAAUAAUAUUAUUCUUUGACUUACACUAUUUCCCCCAUGAAUACACUUGUAUAAAAGCUUCAACAACUCAUGCAAUGGCAACCCACCACAAAAUUUUCAUUACUAUCAAAUAUCAACUAAAGAUCACAAAAAAAUGGCAGGUAUUCUUGCUGGUCUUGAUGGAGGACUUGGUUUUGGUUUUAGUCCUUUCAGUUUAAAGAUCGGCGGAGGUAUCGAUCUCGGGAGUAAAAGGCCGGGGGGGUGCAAGAGUCAUGAUCCAUCAAAAAAAUGGGUUAUAUGUCCCAAUGAUCAAGUUGUAGAAGCUGCUAAGUUUGCAGUGGCUGAGUUCAACAAAAAAUAUGGAAAUAAUCUUGUGUUUCAAGUAGUUUUGGAAGCUUGGGUUUUUACUAAUCCUUGUGGGAAGAAAGAGUAUAGUAUUGAAUUAGUAGUAAUAGACGGCUGCUUGAAUCGUGUUCUCAAGUUUCAUGCAGUCGUGACUGAAACACCCUGUGCUGCUCGCAAGAGGACUCUGGUGUCUUUCGACCAAAUCGUCGACUAAAAGAGAAGUUAUAUGUGCAAUCAAAGUUUAUACUGUGUGAGAAGUACACAAUAAUAAAUCUUGUAGGAUAUUGUACUGCUCUACUUUCUUUCACUAUCUGUUCUAAAAUAAUAAUAAUGGAGGCCAAACUACGUUUUUAGUCCCGAAACCCUAUAAUUUUUGCGUUUUACUUUUCAUUUUGCUUCUUUACAUGCACUCUUAAGUUUCUCAAUUAAAUUUGCACCUGUUUUGUAUUUGGUUCUUUAUUGUGUUCAACCGUUUAAAAUGUCGACCUCGAUCGAUAUUUCUACCAAGAAAACUAUAACUAUAAACAAUAAACUCAUAAAAAAAUUAGUACUUAAAUAAAUUCAAUUGAGAGUCUGAAAAUUAGGUAGGAAAUUUUAAAACUAAAAAUCAAUUGAUUGUUAUCAGACAACUCGACCUACUUUUAUAAUUUUGAGAGUUUGGCAUAGCUUCUAAAAACAUUGGUUUACAAAAAAUAUAGAUAUAAUAACAAAGCAAAUAGAUCUAAGGAUGGAACGAGUUUUUAUUUUCAAAAAUCAACUGGUCAUCAAAUCGAGCUAGCUAUAAGCAUCAACUUUUUCUAUAGUUAUACGAACCCAUUUGUUUGUUGUUAUUAUAUAUAUAUGAGUAGGGAUUUUUUAUUUUUUAUUUUGGUAUAUUUCUAUGAUAUAUAUAAUUAAUGAAAAUGUUGAUUAUUUCUUAUCUCGGUGUCAAAACUUAUUAUAAAAACUAGAACACGUAAACGUAUGUUGCACGUAUCAAGAUCUUUCUUUCUUUUAAAAUUAUCUAUAUUUUCUUUCUUUUGGAAUUAUACAAAUAUACAAAUAUAUAUAUAUAUAUAUAUAUAUAUAUAUAUAUAUAUAUAUAUAUAUAUAUAAAGGAAAUAAUAUUGAAUUGAGAAAGAACAACUUUAAAGAAACAUAAUAUGAUAAUUAAAGAAAAUAUUAGUUUAUUAAACUUGUAUGUUUUUAAUACACUAUAGAGGAUAAACUUUCGAUCUCAAAGGACGGAGUGAACGUUUGGGAUGAUCUCAUUUAAUCUUAUUAAAUGAGUAACCUUAUUAUGUACCGUUUUUUCUUUUUUUUAUGUGUUAAAUUUUCAACAUUUGAAUUUAACAAAUGUUCUAUCAUUUUCAUUAAGAUCAUUCAAAGUAGCCUUUGUUAAUGGUCGUUGUAAAAUUGAGCGACACUAAAAGCUACAAAAAGAAAAUUAAAUAAUAAAUCACACAAAUUCAAAUUUAAGUCUAAUUUACAAUGUUGUAAAAUCAACAGUGAGCAUCAAAAUGGACAAAACUCUACAAGUUUUUUGAAAUUAAAGUUUUGAUUUUGUAUAUAUGUAUUGAUUAUUAAUAGAGAAAAAAAAGCGAGGAAAAGACUAUAUUAAGUAACUUAUUUUAUUAAAUUAUAAACAAUAAAUAAAUAUGAAAUGUAUGGUUGCCGUUUUAAUAACAAUGACUUUCAACACCUUUAUUUUUUGUUUUAUAUCUUUGAACUUUCUUUGAAAUUCUAAGUACUAUGACAGGUUCCAAAUCCUUUAUUAGAAUGUUCACCACGUCAAACCUGAAAAUUUACUCCAACGUAUUAGUAACCAUAUAAUAGUUUAAAUAAAAUUAAAUAAAGUAGAGUAAAUCUAAACUUUGUUUAAAACAUGAUUUUUUUAAUUAAAAAAAAUUCAAUUAUUAACCUAUACAAAUGCAUGUUAUUCACCAUCAAAUCUACAAAUUUACCAUAAUAAUUUAAAUAAAAAAUAAAUAAACUAGUAUAAAUCUAAAAUUCAUCUAACACAUGGUGUUUUUAUUAGAUAAAAUUAAAGGACUGACAUAUAUAUCACAAACGAAUCAACUAAUUAACUUAUAAGAUGCAUAUCACUGUUUAUAGAAAAUGCAAAUGCUACCAUUAGAUAUGUUACUUUUUUUUUGUUGUUGUUGCUAUAUGGGUAAUGAAAUUUGAAAAUAUUUGUAACUAUGAUAUAUCUUAAAUUUUUUGAAAACAAAAGUCUAAUUUCAAAUUCAUUCAAUCUUAAAUUUUGAAUUAACCAUAAACCUAUAAUCAUAAACGUCCACAACCCACGUCAUUAUCGUAAAUGUUGACGUUUUAAGUAAAUUAAACAAUACUAAUGGGUGAUGAGUUACAAAUCCCCACAUAUAUCCAAUGGCUUACCAUGGCGAGUAAAAACAAUUGAUAGUAAACAAUGGCUUCUUUGACAACACAGAAAAAACACACAUCUAGUGAGUAAAGAAAAGAAAAGAAACCUAAUAAUUAGAGAGAAAUUCAAAUAUUUGUAAGAAAAUAAAAUGGUAGAAGAUAGGUCUUUAUACAUAGUUACGUUGAAGAAAAUAAAAGGGUUACAAAGUUCUUUUAUGAUCUCUAUCAAUAAAUAUAGAUUCAUAAAUAUUAAAAAUUAAAUUAUUGAAAUAAUUAGAUAAAACUUUUCUAUUUUGACAAAUUUUUCUCUUAAAUAAUGUGUUAGGCAUGAAGGGAAUUAAGAAUUUGAAAAGAUAAUCAAUACCUUUCGUCAUAGGUAAACAAACUAUACAACUAACAUAGGCAUUAUCUUUCUUUUUACAAGUCCCUACAAUUGUACCAAAAAAGUGAAAUACUUUGUUUCCAAGACAUUGUGUUUAGUGAUGAGAAGAGUCUCUCUUUGAUAGUUAGCACAGUAUUGAUCAGCUACAAGUUUGGAGAAAUAAGAGUUGGUUUCCAUCAGCUUUGAGGGUUCUUCAUAUUCAACCAAAUGACUAAAGUCAUUGUCAAAGACGGUAGAAUUCUGUGAGCUACUGUUACAACAGUGCAUUCUGAAAACUCCUUCCCUUAUAAUUCUUUGUAAAAUGGUGUCAGUUGCCGAGUCGAUUGAAGCGGUAGCCUAAUUGAGAACGAGAAUUUUGUUUGGUUUGAGUAGCACUUGACCAAGACAGAAGAGUUGGCGAUGUCCCACAUUCCAGUUUCCACCUUCAUCAGUUCACAGAUGAGUCGAGCUGAUUCGGUAGACUGCUGACAGUGGCCUUCAGCUGACACCUCUCUUCUAAUGCCUUCCAUAUCUCAUCAUCAUCAGAGUAAAGGCCAAGCGUGUCUAAAUUUUUGUGAAUGCUGCCCCUAAAAAGUUUUGUCUGAUCUUGUGGGAUAAUGCUAAGCUUCAUUCUUAGAUCCUUUAAACCAAUGGAACAUAUAUAUCGAUCCCGUCAAUGAUGAUUCUCCCGCUCUCUGGCUCCACCAAACGAAACAAAGCACUUAUAAGCGUCGUUUUUUCACUUCAUGUUCUUCCUACAACCCUUACUCUAGUCCCUUCUUAGAAGGUACACGUAAUUCCCUUGAGAACGAGAGGAGCAUUGGGAUGAUAUUUUAUCUUUAGACACAUUCCAACACUAUCCUUCCUGUUGUAGGCCAUGAAAGUGGUGGUAUAUGCUGUUCUCCAUGAUUGCUGGGAGGCUCUGCUGGCAAAUGCAUAUAUAUUUCUUGAUCCUUUUCUACAGAAACGAUGUAGUUUGAAAGAGUACAAUAAUAUGUCGCCAUGAAAACAUGGAUACUAUAUUUGAAAAGGAUAAAGCAUAAGAAAGAGAUCAGACUCCCUCAAGUCCUGGAUUGGUGGUUUGACCCUGAGGAAGCAGUACACAAGGAGAAAUGCAACAGUGAAAAAGGUGAAAUGUUGCAAUGUUUCUAUCCUCAAAAUAAACCACCCUCUGUCAUUGCAUAGUUGAAAAAACAGACUCGCAUCAUAUCAGUGUCGAUGAGCUUUAGAAACUUGUUGAAGAAUUAUCGUUUCUGCUGCAUAUAAUUCAUUACAGGUGCUUUUGUUGUCCCAUUAAUUCUAAUAAGCUCCCUACCAGUUGCUAGAUAAUAUAAAAAUAGCUGGAAUGGCAACAACAAGCAAGAACUUCCCACGUAACAGAAGCCACAGUUGCAAUCACUACAAGAAGAUGUAGAUCAGCACCAUAUCAUAUUACGAAGAUGGCGGCAAAUGGUAUGUCAAAAUCCACAAUAUAAUAUUAUAGAAGAUGCCUUACAAAUUGUGAAAAGCUAAUCAAUAUUCACUUUAUUCUUUAUAUGAAAUAAUAAUAUAAGUAACAAAUUUCUUUUACAAAAGCUAUAUAUUGAAAGUAUUUUGGCUUUUUUUCAGUUUAAACAAUAACUAAUGAUUAUCUUAAAAUAUUAGAUCAUACGAUCAUACGAUCAUAUGUUGUAAAUUUAAAAUUUAACAAGAGAUAGAAAUCUGUCGAUAUCUAUCCGUGUUUUUCAUUGAUAAAAUCUACGAAGUAAAAUCAAGAAAAGAAAAUUUUCACAAGGCCUAUAGCGUAACAAAGAGUAUCAAUAACCAUAGGAAGGAGGAGAGGAAAAUGUUUUAAAAUUGAAAAGAACAUAAAACUCAAUUGGAUAUUAAACAUUCGAUCAACAAAAACUAUAAAUUAAACACCAAAAGAAAAAAAAAAGAAAAACAAAUCAAAAUCAAUGACUCUCUUAUCUAUAUAUUUUUUAUGAUCAAAUAACUUUCAAAACCUUCUCAAAAGGUUCUAUAUAUUUUUCUUGGUAUUUUGGCUAAGAUCAAGUGUUCUAUUAUUAUUAUUAUAUAUAUAUAUAUGCUUCAUUUUUCAAUGGGUUAUCUUAAGUAAGGCCUCCCAGCAUAUUCUUUCCAAAAUUAUUCUUUGACUUGCACUAUUUCUCCCAUGAAUACACUUGUAUAUAAAGCUUCAACAACUCAUGCAAUGGCAACCCACCAAACAAAAUUUUCAAUACUAUCAAAUAUCAACUAAAUUAGCUCACAUAAAAAUGACGAUUGGUAUUGGUGGAGGAAUUGGUAUUGGCAUUGGCGUUCCUGGUAUCAAAGUAUCGAUCGGUGGAGGCAUCGGUAUCGGAAGUAGAAAGGGGGGGUGCAAGAGUCAUGAUCCUUCAAAAAAAUGGAGUCAAGUUCCCAAUGCGCAAGCAGAUCAAGUUAUUAUAAAUGUUGCUAACUUUGCAGUGGCAGCGUUCAACCAAAAAUAUGGAAAUAAGCUUGUGUUUCAUGCAGUUUUGGAAGCUUGGGUUGUUGUUCUUCCUGAUGGCAAAAAAGAGUAUAGUAUUGAAUUAGUAGCAAAAGACUGUUUGAAUCGUUGCCUCUACUUUCAUGCUAUUGUGAUUGAAAUAGUUGGCGUUCCCCCUGGCUGGAAUCUUUUUUCUUUCACCCAAAUCAGCGACUAAAUUAAAAGAAAAGUUAUAUGUAUAAUCGAAGUUCAUACUUAUGUGUGAGAAGUACACAAUAAUAAAUCUUAUAUGAUAUUGUACUGCUCUACUUUCUUUAACUAUCUGUUAUAGAAUAAUAAUGGAGGCCAAACGAUGUUUUUAGUCCCAAACCCUUUAUUUUGUGUUUUAGUUUUCAUUUUGGUUUGUUGCAUGGGACUCUCUUAAGUUUUUGAGUUAAUGUUUUGCAGCUUUGUGUUUGAGUUUUGAGUUUAAUUUUGUAUUUGGUUCUUGAUCGUGUU